rnacentral:rRNA from 1 species
CCUACGGGUGGCAGCAGUGGGGAAUAUUGGGCAAUGGACGCAAGUCUGACCCAGCAACGCCGCGUGAAGGAAGGAGGCUUUCCGGUUGUAAACUUCUUUUAAGGGGGAAGAGCAGAAGACGGUACCCCUUGCAUAAGCCACGGCUAACUACGUGCCAGCAGGCGCGGUCAUACGUAGGUGGCAAGCGUUGUCCGGAUUUACUGGGUGUAAAGGGCGUGCAGCCGGAGAGGUAAGUCAGAUGUGAAAGCCACGGGCUCAACCCGUGAACUGCAUUUGAAACUGUUUCACUUGAGUGUCGGAGAGGGAAUCGGAAUUCCGUGUGUAGCAGUGAAAUGCGUAGAUAUAGGGAAGAACACCAGUGGCGAAGGCGGGUUACUGGACGAUAACUGACGGUGAGGCGCGAAGGCGUGGGGAGCGAACGGGAUUAGAUACCCUGGUAGUC